rnacentral:misc_RNA from 1 species
GGAAGUAAAAGUCGUAACAAGGUUUCCGUAGGUGGACCUGCGGAAGGAUCAUUAUUGUAUAACCGAGGUGCGAGGGCUGUCGCUGACCCGAAAGGUCGUGCACGCCCGAGUGCCCUCACACACAUCCAUCUCACCCCUAUGUGCACCACCGCGUGGGUCCCCCUUUGGCUUGUUCGGAGGGGGGCUUACGUUUUCACACAAACUUUGUAUGCAGUGUAGAAUGUAUUUUUUGUUUUUGCGAUCACGCAAUCAAUACAACUUUCAACAACGGAUCUCUUGGCUCUG